UACGAAGGGGGCUAGCGUUGUUCGGAAUUACUGGGCGUAAAGCGCGCGCAAGCGGUUCUUCAAGUCAGUGGUGAAAGCCCGGGGCUCAACCCCGGAAUGGCUUUCGAAACUGCUGAGCUAGAGUACAGAAGGGGCAACCGGGAAUUCCCAGUGUAGCGGUGAAAUGCGUAGAUAUUGGGAAGAACACCAGUGGCGAAGGCGGCUCACUGGCCCGGUACUGACGCUGAGGUGCGAAAGCGUGGGGAGCAAACAGGAUUAGCAUACCCCU
rnacentral:rRNA from 1 species